UCCUUGAUGCGUGGUGGAAUGAAGCAAAUCGCACUCUAUCACUAUGACUCUAGUGUUUUAUGUCAGUCGACCUUUAACAUCGAGUUCGUGAACAUGGCAGUCGUGUAAUUCAAAUUUAAUUUAAUCAAAAUAUCAGAUAUAUUUUAGCUUAUGAAACCGUCAAUAUGGGUCGGGUUUAUAUCAGGAAAACUACAAAGGCUUCGUACUCAAAAGAGGCACUAGCAGAAGCUGUCCAAGCUGUGAAAAGUGGGGAAUUGAGUGGUUAUGCAGCGGCCAAACGUUUUAGUAUACCAAGAACAACGAUUAUGGACCACGUGAUCAAUAGGAGGUGCAAGUCAAAUACGCUUGGACGAAAUACUGCUCUUUCUUUGGACGUUGAAGUGAGAAUUGCGACAUUCUUGCGACUGAUGCAAGAACACGGGCCUAGCUUGACUAAAAAACAGAUCUUGAUACUAGUUGGUGAUUAUAUUAAGAGAAACGACAUACAAACGUGUUUUAAAGAUGGGGUGCCCGGCACGGAGUGGUAUGAAGCAUUCAAAAAGCGACAUCAAUUAAUAAUGAAAACAACUAUAGAAUGUCAGUGAUUUAAUAAAAGUAAGUUUUUAAAUAA